AGGCAGUGUAGUUAGCUGAUUGC
rnacentral:ncRNA from 34 species